rnacentral:rRNA from 1 species
GCAAGUCGAACGGUAACAUGAUCAGCUUGCUGAUUGAUGACGAGUGGCGCACGGGUGCGUAACGCGUAUGCAACCUACCUUUAACUGGAGGAUAGCCCGAAGAAAUUCGGAUUAAUACUCCAUAAUAUAUGUCUUUCGCAUGUUAGACAUAUUAAAGCUUUGGCGGUUAAGGAUGGGCAUGCGUAACAUUAGCUAGUUGGUAAGGUAACGGCUUACCAAGGCUACGAUGUUUAGGGGGUCUGAGAGGAUGGUC